GUUAAGCGACUAAGCGUACACGGUGGAUGCCCUGGCAGUCAGAGGCGAUGAAGGACGUGCUAAUCUGCGAUAAGCGUCGGUAAGGUGAUAUGAACCGUUAUAACCGGCGAUUUCCGAAUGGGGAAACCCAGUGUGAUUCGUCACACUAUCAUUAACUGAAUCCAUAGGUUAAUGAGGCGAACCGGGGGAACUGAAACAUCUAAGUACCCCGAGGAAAAGAAAUCAACCGAGAUUCCCCCAGUAGCGGCGAGCGAACGGGGAGCAGCCCAGAGCCUGAAUCAGUGUGUGUGUUAGUGGAAGCGUCUGGAAAGGCGCGCGAUACAGGGUGACAGCCCCGUACACAAAAAUGCACAUGCUGUGAGCUCGAUGAGUAGGGCGGGACACGUGGUAUCCUGUCUGAAUAUGGGGGGACCAUCCUCCAAGGCUAAAUACUCCUGACUGACCGAUAGUGAACCAGUACCGUGAGGGAAAGGCGAAAAGAACCCCGGCGAGGGGAGUGAAAAAGAACCUGAAACCGUGUACGUACAAGCAGUGGGAGCACGCUUAGGCG
rnacentral:rRNA from 1 species